ACUGAGUACAGCGGCGGACGGGUGAGUAACGCGUAGGAAUCUACCCAGUAGUGGGGGACAACUUAGGGAAACUUAAGCUAAUACCGCAUACGCCCUAAGGGGGAAAGCGGGGGAUCUUCGGACCUCGCGCUAUUGGAUGAGCCUGCGUAGGAUUAGCUUGUUGGUGAGGUAAAGGCUCACCAAGGCGACGAUCCUUAGCUGGUCUGAGAGGAUGAUCAGCCACACCGGGACUGAGACACGGCCCAAACUCC
rnacentral:rRNA from 1 species